rnacentral:rRNA from 1 species
CCUACGGGGGGCAGCAGUGGGGAAUAUUGCACAAUGGGCGCAAGCCUGAUGCAGCCAUGCCGCGUGUGUGAAGAAGGCCUUCGGGUUGUAAAGCACUUUCAGCGGGGAGGAAGGCGGUGAGGUUAAUAACCUCAUCGAUUGACGUUACCCGCAGAAGAAGCACCGGCUAACUCCGUGCCAGCAGCCGCGGUAAUACGGAGGGUGCAAGCGUUAAUCGGAAUUACUGGGCGUAAAGCGCACGCAGGCGGUCUGUCAAGUCGGAUGUGAAAUCCCCGGGCUCAACCUGGGAACUGCAUUCGAAACUGGCAGGCCAGAGUCUUGUAGAGGGGGGUAGAAUUCCAGGUGUAGCGGUGAAAUGCGUAGAGAUCUGGAGGAAUACCGGUGGCGAAGGCGGCCCCCUGGACAAAGACUGACGCUCAGGUGCGAAAGCGUGGGGAGCAAACAGGAUUAGAUACCCGGGUAGUC